CCUACGGGUGGCAGCAGUGGGGAAUAUUGCACAAUGGGGGGAACCCUGAUGCAGCGACGCCGCGUGGGUGAAGGAGUAUUUCGGUAUGUAAAGCCCUAUCAGCAGGGGAGAACAAUGACGGUAGCGGACUAGGAGGCAGCGGAUAAGUACGGGCCAGCAGCGGCGGUAAUACGGAGGAUGCGAGGGUUAUACGGAUUUACUGGGUGUAAUGGGUGCGCAGGCGGAGCGAUAAGCUUGAUGUGAAAGCCCCGGGCCCAACCCGGGAACUGCAUUGAGAACUGGGGAUCUGGAGAGCCGGAGGGGUAGGCGGAAUGUCUGGUGUAGCGGUGAAAUGCGUAGAUAUUAGACAGAACACCAAUUGCGAAGGCAGCCUACUGGACGAUAACUGACGCUGAGGCUCGAAAGCGUGGGGAGCAAACAGGAUUAGAUACCCUAGUAGUC
rnacentral:rRNA from 1 species